AUUGAACGCUGGCGGCAUGCCUUACACAUGCAAGUCGAACGGGUAACAGGGAGCUUGCUCCGCUGACGAGUGGCGAACGGGUGAGUAAUGUAUCGGAACGUACCAUAGAGUGGGGGAUAACUAUCCGAAAGGAUAGCUAAUACCGCAUAUUCUCUCCGGAGGAAAGCAGGGGACCGCAAGGCCUUGCGCUCUUUGAGCGGCCGAUAUCAGAUUAGCUAGUUGGUGAGGUAAAGGCUCACCAAGGCGACGAUCUGUAGCGGGUCUGAGAGGAUGAUCCGCCACACUGGAACUGAGACACGGUCCAGACUCCUACGGGAGGCAGCAGUGGGGAAUUUUGGACAAUGGGCGAAAGCCUGAUCCAGCCAUGCCGCGUGCAGGAUGAAGGCCUUCGGGUUGUAAACUGCUUUUGUACGGAACGAAAAGACUCCUUCUAAUAAAGGGGGUCCAUGACGGUACCGUAAGAAUAAGCACCGGCUAACUACGUG
rnacentral:rRNA from 1 species